AGUAGAUAACCGUCUUGUUAUCUACUGAUAACAAAGAUGUCGCUAUAGUCCAGCGACAGUGUCAAUAGCAGUCCCGUAGAUAAAAUCAAUUUUUUUGCUACAUGAGCAACCACACAUCUUCAAGAUAAUUAUCACGUCAGACUAGACAUGACUGUCCUGCAUCAGUAAGAGUUUGCUCCAACCAAGUUCGCUCAUAUCUUCUAAAUGAUUUGUCAAUGUUUUAUAAAUAUCUAAUUAACGCGCAUCGGUAGGGCUGCAUCAAUUUGCGUGUUCCCAGCCAAAUUAGAACCAGAAACUUUCCGGUUCCAAGGUCCCAAGUUACUCAUGAAGCUGAGAACCACUGGACAGAAAUACAUGAGAAUGUACGGUGUUGAGGAACGCUGCAACGUUUGUAGGGUUUGGAAGUUCAGUCAGUUUUAACUUUACAUAGCGGAAUACACAAGAUGAUGAUGUCAUGGAUCAAUAAUCGCACGAUAACGAUGACGAUGAUAUUAUUACAUUAAAAGUACGAACGAGUUGAUGCUGGGCCAAGGAUACGCGCGGAACAGCACGUGCCCGAUACGGGAAACACAAAAGCGCGUCAGAUUGUAUUGUUCGAAGCAUCAUCGGGGCAAAACGGCAAAACCUGAUAGAGAAGGGAACAGGAUUCUUGUGGAAAAUGGAUGAAGAUCUGACCAGUCCACUUCCAGCUAGUUUCAA